AACAUCACGUACACGUGCACACAGUCAUUCAGUGAACAUGUGCUGAGCAUCUACUGCCUGUGGAGUACAAGGAGGACCAACCGAGGGACAGGAGCCCAGCUCUGACAUCAGAGGAAGGACAUCAUGAGACAUUUGGGGCAGAGUUCGAGGGCUCUCUUGGCCCUUCUGUUGCCUCGGGGGUCUAUCUUGGUCAGUACACAACUGCUUUCCAGACCCAGAGACCCCUGCACACUUCAAAAAUCCUUCUCUGCUUUAGGAAUGCCGGGCACCUUAUAGGCAGCAAACUUCUGCUGAGAUGGCCUUUGGCAGAACCGUUCAGGGCCCCACCAACUAAUGAUUGCCCUCAGGCCUUGCCAGGGAGGGAGACGUGGGGAGAGGGCUACCUGCUUCUUUCAGGCCUUGGGACUGGUGGCUGGAGAU
rnacentral:lncRNA from 1 species